CCCUCCAUACGUCGCCAGCGGGAGUUCAUGCCAGAAGAAAAGAAGGACACAGUUUACUGGGAGAAGCGGAGGAAGAACAAUGAAGCAGCCAAGAGAUCCAGGGAAAAGCGACGUCUCAAUGAUGCAGCCAUUGAGGGCAGGCUGGCUGCACUGAUGGAGGAGAAUGCCCUGCUCAAGGGUGAGCUGAAGGCGCUCAAGCUUCGCUUUGGCCUCCUGCCCCUGACU
rnacentral:lncRNA from 1 species